GUCAUAAAAUACACAGCUGGAAUUUAAGAAAUAAGGCCCUCAAGAUCAGGCCCCAAGUAUUUCCUCUUGAUGUUUUAGUGUUGGACAUUCAGAAGCCCAGUUACACUGGAACAUCGGGGGUGAUGGAGUCAUGACUGAAAUGCAUUAGGAGAUGUGGAGAAGAUCAAGAAAAGCACUCUAAAAUCAUAACGACAGCAAAGAAAUUUCAAGAGAGGAUCAAAACUGGCUGAAAAAGAAGGCCUGUUUAAAAGAAAAGCAAACACCAUCUCCAACCGAAAAGAAAGCAUUUUAUAGUAAAGAAAGAUCCCACAAGAAAGCCACCAGUAAAAACUAUCGUAAGAGACUGAGAAGAUGUGAAUUCUUGCAACUAGGAAGCUGAUUUGGUGGCAACUGGCAACAAGGGAUGAGCAGUUCUAUUGAGCACAGACUGAUGUUGUAACCAGCCCUCGAUUGACCAUACAUGGUAGAUGGAAAAGGCUCUUUCCUACAGCCCCUCUCCUUCCCAGUCAAUCUGUCUCACAAUGUAUCAGCAAU